GAUGAACGCUGGCGGCGUGCCUAAUACAUGCAAGUCGAGCGAACAGACGAGAAGCUUGCUUCUCUGAUGUUAGCGGCGGACGGGUGAGUAACACGUGGAUAACCUACCUAUAAGACUGGGAUAACUUCGGGAAACCGGAGCUAAUACCGGAUAAUAUUUUGAACCGCAUGGUUCAAAAGUGAAAGACGGUCUUGCUGUCACUUAUAGAUGGAUCCGCGCUGCAUUAGCUAGUUGGUAAGGUAACGGCUUACCAAGGCAACGAUGCAUAGCCGACCUGAGAGGGUGAUCGGCCACACUGGAACUGAGACACGGUCCAGACUCCUACGGGAGGCAGCAGUAGGGAAUCUUCCGCAAUGGGCGAAAGCCUGACGGAGCAACGCCGCGUGAGUGAUGAAGGUCUUCGGAUCGUAAAACUCUGUUAUUAGGGAAGAACAUAUGUGUAAGUAACUGUGCACAUCUUGACGGUACCUAAUCAGAAAGCCACGGCUAACUACGUGCCAGCAGCCGCGGUAAUACGUAGGUGGCAAGUGUUAUCCGGAAUUAUUGGGCGUAAAGCGCGCGUAGGCGGUUUUUUAAGUCUGAUGUGAAAGCCCACGGCUCAACCGUGGAGGGUCAUUGGAAACUGGAAAACUUGAGUGCAGAAGAGGAAAGUGGAAUUCCAUGUGUAGCGGUGAAAUGCGCAGAGAUAUGGAGGAACACCAGUGGCGAAGGCGACUUUCUGGUCUGUAACUGACGCUGAUGUGCGAACGCGUGGGGAUCAAACAGGAUUAGAUACCCUGGUAGUCCACGCCGUAAACGAUGAGUGCUAAGUGUUAGGGGGUUUCCGCCCCUUAGUGCUGCAGCUAACGCAUUAAGCACUCCGCCUGGGGAGUACGACCGCAAGGUUGAAACUCAAAGGAAUUGACGGGGACCCGCACAAGCGGUGGAGCAUGUGGUUUAAUUCGAAGCAACGCGAAGAACCUUACCAAAUCUUGACAUCCUUUGACAACUCUAGAGAUAGAGCUUUCCCCUUCGGGGGACAAAGUGACAGGUGGUGCAUGGUUGUCGUCAGCUCGUGUCGUGAGAUGUUGGGUUAAGUCCCGCAACGAGCGCAACCCUUAAGCUUAGUUGCCAUCAUUAAGUUGGGCACUCUAAGUUGACUGCCGGUGACAAACCGGAGGAAGGUGGGGAUGACGUCAAAUCAUCAUGCCCCUUAUGAUUUGGGCUACACACGUGCUACAAUGGACAAUACAAAGGGCAGCGAAACCGUGAGGUCAAGCAAAUCCCAUAAAGUUGUUCUCAGUUCGGAUUGUAGUCUGCAACUCGACUACAUGAAGCUGGAAUCGCUAGUAAUCGUAGAUCAGCAUGCUACGGUGAAUACGUUCCCGGGUCU
rnacentral:rRNA from 1 species